GGACUGCGGAGGAUCAUUAAAGAGAUAGGGUCUUCACGGCCCGACCUCCAACCCUCUGUUGUUAAAACUACCUUGUUGCUUUGGCGGGACCGUCUCGGUCUCCGAGCGCACUAACCUUCGGGUUGGUGAGUGCCCGCCAGAGUCCAACCAAACUCUUGUAUUAAACCAGUCGUCUGAGUAUAAAAUUUUAAUUAAAUUAAAACUUUCAACAACGGAUCUCUUGGUUCUCGCAUCGAUGAAGAACGCAGCGAAAUGCGAUAAGUAAUGUGAAUUGCAGAAUUCAGUGAAUCAUCGAAUCUUUGAACGCACAUUGCGCCCCUUGGUAUUCCGAGGGGCAUGCCUGUUCGAGCGUCAUUACACCACUCAAGCAUCGCUUGGUAUUGGGAACGGUCCGUCGAAAGGCGGGCCUUCCUCGAAGACCUCGGCGGGGUUCAACCAACUUCGGGCGUAGUAGAGUUAAAUCGAACGUCUUAUAAGCUUGGUCGGAUCUCAUUGCCGUUAAACCUUUUAAAUUUUCUAGGUUGACCUCGGAUCAGGUAGGGAUACCCGCUGAACUUAAGCAUAUCAAUAGCCGGAGGAAGAAUGUA
rnacentral:rRNA from 1 species